UGCCCUCGAACCCAUUUAGAUCUCUGGUUAAAGCCGUCAGAUGAAGAUCAGACGACUGGCACGCUCGUUUCGUCUCAGAGUCAUCGUGGUUCGCCACGACGAAAUCAAAAGCGAAGGCGAGAAAAUGAAACUCACCACUUGGUUGUUUUCUUCUUCGUCCGUCUUUCGCGAUCUCGCGAUGCGUCGUCCCUCUCUUUGUUCUCUCCGAAGCUUUCUUCUCCCUUCCUCGAGAUCCGAACCCUAACCCUCCUCCGUUUCUCUGAUCGGAGUGACACUAGCUAGAGGAAUCAACCUCUUCCGAGGUAAGGGAUGGCUUUUAUGGCGGUGCUCGAGUCCGAUCUGCGGGCGCUGUCUGUCGAAGCCCGCCGAAGGUAUCCGGCUGUGAAGGAUGCCGCGGAGCAUGCGAUCUUGAAGCUUCGCUCCUUGUCAAGUCCAAAUGAAAUUGCUCACAAUGAGGACAUAUUGCGCAUAUUUUUGAUGGCUUGUGAUGUUAAGUCAGUAAAACUUAGUGUCAUCGGACUUUCUUGUUUGCAAAAGCUCAUAGCACAUGAUGCUGUUACGCCAUCAGCUGUGAAAUAUAUACUUUCCACCUUGAAAGAGCAUGCUGAGAUGACAGAUGAGAGUGUUCAGCUUAAAACCUUGCAGACUAUCUUAAUUGUAUUCCAGUCACAUUUGCAUCCUUUAGAGGAGGACAACAUGGCUCAAGCUCUUGGUAUAUGUCUCCGUCUACUUGAGAGCAGUCGAUCUUCUGACAGUGUGCGCAAUACUGCUGCAGCUACAUUCAGGCAGGCCGUAGCUCUUAUUUUUGAUAGCGUUGCUUGCAUUGAAUCACUUCCUCCUGGCAAAAUUGGUUCUGGCAGUCACACGUCUCGAGCUAGUACCAUUAUGGAUGAUAUUAGCCGUAGUUUCAAUAACUCAGUGUCACUUGAUAGUGAUUUUGUUUCUGAAGGGCCAGCAAAGCGAGAAGGUCUUAGUAAAGUUGGUAAACUUGGACUUCGACUGCUUGAGGACCUGACAGCACUUGCUGCAGGUGGAUCUGCGAUCUGGUUGCGAGUUAUUUCACUUCAACGGGCAUUUGCUCUUGAUAUACUUGAGUUCAUUUUGUCCAACUACACAGCAAUGUUUCAAAAGUUAAUACCUUAUGAAAAGGUCUUGCGCCACCAAAUAUGUUCUCUUCUUAUGACUUCGCUGCGAACAAAUGCUGAGCUUGAAGGGGAAGCUGGGGAACCUACAUUUCGACGAUUGGUCUUACGAGCUGUUGCAAAUGUUAUCAGAAUGUAUUCUUUAUCCCUUGUUACAGAAAGUGAGGUAUUUUUAAAUAUGUUGGUAAAAGUAACCCGUCUUGACUUGCCACUGUGGCAUCGGAUACUUGUGCUUGAAGUCUUGAGGGGUUUUUGUGUUGAAGCAAGGACGUUAGGUCUGCUCUUUUGGAAUUUUGAUAUGAAUCCAAAAAACACAAAUGUUGUGGAGAACAUGGUGAAAGCACUUGCUAGAGUAGUUUCCACCAUCCAAAUGGUUCCAGAAUCAAGUGAAGAGAGCCUUGCAGCUGUUGCAGGAAUGUUUAACAGUAAAGCUAAAGGAAUUGAAUGGAGCAUGGAUAGUGAUGCAUCUAAUGCUGCUGUUCUGGUUGCUAGUGAAGCCCAUGCUAUCACCUUGGCUAUUGAAGGACUUUUGGGAGUCGUUUAUACAGUUGCUACAUUAACAGAUGAAGCUGUGGAGGUGGGAGAGCUUGAUUCUCCUAGAUGCGAUACUGAUCCAUCAGCAGAAUGCACUGGAAAGACAGCUAUUUUAUGUGUGUCUAUGGUUAAUUCAACAUGGUUAACUAUUCUUGAUGCUUUGUCUCUUAUUUUGAUGAGGUCGCAAGGGGAAGCUAUAAUACUGGAGAUUCUUAAAGGAUAUCAAGCGUUUACCCAAGCAUGUGGAGUACUUCAUGCUGUAGAACCUUUAAAUUCUUUCUUGGCAUCGCUAUGUAAAUUUACCAUCAACAUUCCAAGUGAGGGAGAAAAGAAAAGUGUUCUACUCUCUCCUGGAUCAAAGAGGUCAGACUCCCUACCUGAUCAGCGAGAUAAUGUUGUUUUAACCCCUAAAAAUGUGCAGGCAUUGAGAACACUCUUCAACGUAGCACACCGCUUGCAUAAUGUCUUGGGUCCAUCCUGGGUUUUGGUCUUGGAGACUCUGGCGUCUCUAGAUAGAACCAUUCAUUCUCCUCAUGCAUCUACCCAGGAAGUUUCAGCUUCUGCUUCAAGACUUGCAAGAGAAACAUCUGGGCACUAUACUGACUUCCACAUUCUCUCUUCUUUGAAUUCUCAGCUAUUCGAAAGUUCAGCAUUAAUGCAUGUAUCUGCAGUGAAGUCACUGCUAUCUGCAUUACGUCAGUUAUCAAGUCAGUGCAGUUCUGGAAAUUCUCAAGCACAAAGUCAGCAGAUUGGAGGUGUUGCAUUCUCGGUGGAGCGCAUGACGUCUAUACUUGUAAAUAAUCUCCACAGGGUUGAGCCCCUAUGGGAUCAAAUUGUUGCUCAUCUUCUUGAGCUAGCUGAUAAUUCAAACCCACAAGUAAGAAAUUUGGCACUAGAUGCACUAGAUCAGUCAAUUUGUGCAGUCUUGGGCUCUGAUGAAUUUCAGGGCAUUAAAGCAUCUCAACAGUUGCCUGAUUCUCAUGAUGCCAAAGAUGCUGAAGUUGGAUCAUUUGAAUGUGUUUUUCUAUCUCCGUUGUUGGUUCUUUAUAUGUCUAGUCAGAGCCUUGAUGUUCGGGCGGGAUCAUUAAAAAUAUUAUUGCAUGUUUUAGAGAGACAUGGCGACAAACUGUAUUAUAGCUGGCCCAGUAUACUUAAAUUGUUGAGGGCUGUGGCUGAUGCAUCAGAGAGAGAUCUUGUGCCAUUAGGAUUCCAGAGUAUGCGCAUCAUCAUGAAUGAUGGACUGUCAACCAUUCCUACACACUGUCUUGAUGUCUGUAUAGAAGUCACAGGUGCAUAUAGUGCUCAGAAGAAGGAAAUAAAUAUAAGUUUGACCGCAAUUGGCCUACUUUGGACUGCAACUGACUUUAUUGCGAAGGGAUUGGCUCACAGUCUCAUCCAGGAAAUUGAUGAUGGGAUUGCUCCUGGUGUAGACCCCAAAGAUGAACAGGCCAUUCAUACCAUGGAAGUUCAUGAACCAAUUAUCUCGAAAAGUUUGAUUGAUUACAAUAAGUUGCUUUUUUCAGUUUUCUCCAUUCUUCAAAAUCUUGCAGGAGAUCAGAGGCCUGAGGUAAGAAAUUCAGCGAUUAGGACUUUGUUUCAGACUUUGGGCAGUCAUGGACAGAAGAUACCCGGAAGUAUGUGGGAGGAUUGCCUAUGGAAUUAUGUAUUCCCCAUUCUAGAUCGUGUUUCUCACCUGGCAUCCACUUCAUCCCGGGAAGAGUGGCAAGGAAAAGAAUUAGGGACUCGAGGAGGAAAAGCUGUUCAUAUGCUGAUUCACCACAGCCGCAAUACGGCUCAGAAGCAAUGGGAUGAGACUAUCGUAUUGGUUUUGGGUGGAAUAACAAGGCUACUGCGCUCCUUUUUCCCUUUUCUUCAGAGUUUAGGCAAUUUUGCUGCUUGUUGGGAACUUCUGCUAGAUUUUGUCAAGAAUAGCAUCUUAAAUGGUAGUAAAGAAGUUGCACUUGCUGCAAUAAAUUGUUUACAGACAAUUGUUAAUUCACAUUGUCCAAAGGGAAACCUGGCUGUAUCUUAUGUCAAAUCUAUGCUUGAUGUCUAUGAACUUGUAAUUCAAAUGUUCCCUAAUUACACUAGUAGUGCAGCUAGCAAGGUGAAGCAGGAGAUCCUGAAUGGUCUUGGAGAUCUCUAUACGCAAGCACACAUAAUGUUUGAUGCAGACAUGUACUUGCAGCUGCUUGCUAUAUUGCAUUUGGCCAUUAGAAGUUCCAAGAGUUCUGGUGACAUGGAAAAUGAAGCUAUCCAGGAAAACCUUCCACCAGUACAGCGUACAAUUUUGGAGAUUUUACCUCUUCUACGUCCUACAGAACGUCUAUCAUCCAUGUGGUCCCAGUUUAUCAAGGUGCUCCUGUGUUAUCUGAUUGGAUAUGAAGCUCGUUCACAUAAAAUCAUAAAUGACAUGGAAUUGGCAGUGCGUUCAAACCAUGAUCAUGAGGGUUUAGAAAAGGACUCUCAUAAUGCUUCAAGUUCUUCUCCAGAAAACAAAUCCAGGGAUUUCACAAAUCAUAAGGAAAUUAACAUGAAACCAAAGCCUGAUGUUGCUAAUGGUGCCUCUUCUGUCUCCAUGACAAAAUCACAGCCUUCAUUUCCUCACUCAGCUACUUCUGAUGACACAGCAAGCUCCCACUUGAGCCCUUUGUUUGGAGAAAAGCUUCUUCCUGUUAUUGUGAAGCUCUAUCUAGAGGCCUCACCAUCUGAAAAGUGCUGUAUAUCUGCUGAAAUCUUGCAUGGACUUGGAAGGUGCAUGAGUACUAGAAGAGAUAACCCAAAUGGUACCCUUUGGAAAGUUGCAGUUGAUGGCUUCAAUUGUGUUCUUAUUGAUGCCAUAACCAGAGUAAAUUCAGAAAAUAAAUUUGAUCAAAAUACCUAUAAAAGUUAUAGGGCUAGUCUUUGGAAUGAGGUGGCAGAUGUCUAUGAAAUAUUUUUGGUUGGUUCAUGUGGACGAGUUCUUUCAUCUAGAACUCUUUUGGUUGAAGCACUUUUAGCUGAUGAGGUCAUCGAGAUGAAUGUUCUGAGUACUCUGGGAGACAAGGUUCUUAAAAGCCAUAUUGAUGCUCCUCUUGAGAUAUUGGAACGAUUAAUUACAACCCUUGACCGUUGUGCAUCCAGAAUUGACUCUUUACCUCUUGAGAGUGUUGGGCUUAUGCCUUCGCAUUGUAGCAGAUUCUCUCUGAGCUGUUUACAGACAAUAUUUUCCUUAUGCAGUUUUACAUGUGAAGAUAGCUGGCAUCAAACAAGAUCGGAAGUUAGCAAGCUCACAGUCACCAUUCUUUUGAGGAGAUGUGAAACUAUUUUGGACAAGUUUUUGACUGAUGAAAAUAGCCUAGGAGAGCAUCCACUGCCGAGUGUGAGAAUCGAUGAAACUGUAUAUGUUCUUCAAGAACUUGCUCGACUGUCGAUUCAUUCGGAUGCAGCAGCUGUUCUUCAAGUACCACCAUCCGUAAGAGAAAUCCUAAAGAAGAAUAACAAUAUUGGACGUGCCCAUCUAUAUGUAUUGUUUCCAUCAUUUUGCGAGCUUGUUGUAUCAAGGGAAGUUAAGGUGAGGGAGCUAGUGCAAGUACUUCUAAGACUAAUUGCCACAGAUUUAGGGCUGCAGCGUCCAAGAUGAAAAGAGAUGACAGGUACAUUUUAAAGCUUUCCGUGCAUCAACUUUGCUGCAACAGUUAUGUUGAUAUUGCAAUUCAUUUUUCUCGUUUGGGACACGGUGAACCAUCAUUGCCUAUCCUGCUCAUCAGGUAUAAGUUGUAACGGCAUGGCCUUGAAGUUCCAUAUAGCAGCCGUGAGUGGUGCCAAGGAAGUUCUCAAGUUCAUACUGGUAUCAGCUACACCUGUUAUUAAAGAGCUCAUCAACAAUCCCUUCACACAAUUUUUUUAGGGCCAAACCAGAAACUGAUUGCGAGAUGUUCAAGUGAAGGCCUACAUUGGUCCAGAUUUAGUAGAUACGAUUGCUUAAAGUGUCAGCAUUUGCUCUUAAACUGAUGGGAUACAUGUAACAAGCAACCCGAAAGUGCUCUGGCGUAAAUGUGUCUUAUAUUUUAAGCACUACGAAGCUAAAAGGGAUUCCAAGGGAUAUUAUAGGUUCAGUCUUUUGUUUCGGAUCACUAAUCCAUUUCAUCAGACGAAUCUGCGUCCUCCAAUGGAUAUGCUGAUAGUUAAUUCGUUCAGCUGCACUUUUAUCUCCACCGUGCUACCCGAGUACGUUGAAAUUGUAGGCCUCUCAGCAUUGUAAUGCUUAUAUCUUAAAUAUUUUUUAUUUCUUAGUUUCUGUUGAUUCAUGAAGCUUAAAUCAAGGAUGAUCUUUAUUUACCCAA